CCUACUGAGUGAUCCCUGGCCUAGGCAUCUGGCAGAGUUGGGUCCAGCUAGUUGCACCCUGGGGGCUGUGUUCCAUCUCUGUUGUUUUGCCUCAGGCCAAACUGUCAAGCCUCCAGCAGAGAUUCCUGGACACUCACAGGUUUUGAAGAAAUAUCUCCAGUCUUCAGAAAGAGGAAACAGCUCUCACCAUUGACAAUGUGAUAGAAGGGGCCGCAUAAUGGGUACGAAAUGCCGAGGUAAAAGAUCCCAGGAGAAACAAAAGUCACUAUUGUGUUUUUUUCCAUGACUCUCUUAAUAUGUUUUGAAACUGAUUUUUAAAUUGGGCUAGUAAACAAACGUAAUCUCUGAGCGCCAUCUCCUGGAACCAUUUACCACAUCACACCAGCCUCCCGUCAUCCCGGCCUCAGCAAGGCUCUGCACCACUGCCUGAAGCUGCAAGACAGGAAGGCUCCUGGGGGGCAGGCAAUGCCUAUUAGCCCCCUGUGCCUUCUGUCCCCAGGUGAGGCUGCUGCUGGUUUAGGGCCAGCCUGUUUCUGCGUCAGCCCCCAGCUCUGCCCUACGCAGGGGGGCCGCUUCUAGCAUCCCCCUCCCUUUAUGGCCUCCUGCCUGCAUGAUGACCACUUCCUGUGACUGGCUAUCUGCUCUUUGAGCCAGAGUUUGCUUCAUCUUGGUCUUCU
ensembl:lncRNA